rnacentral:lncRNA from 1 species
CAAGCCCAUUUGAUCCCACAAAAACACCAAACGCAGAGCCAAAGAAAAGCUUCAUGUCCUCUCUCAUUACCCUCCGCUCCAACCACUUCAAAGAAGACACUUACUUCGUCUCCGAACUCAAACCCGCCGAGCAGAAAGCUCUCCAAGACCUCAAAGAGAAGCUCUCGUCUUCCUCCUUCGGAGCUUCCUCCAUGUGGGGAGUCCCUCUCCUCGGCGGAGACGACAGAGCUGACGUCAUCCUCCUCAAGUUCCUCAGAGCAAGAGACUUCAAAGUCGGAGACUCGCUGAGGAUGCUCGAGAAGUGUUUGGAGUGGAGAGAAGAGUUCAAAGCAGAGAAACUGACCGAAGAAGAUCUUGGCUUCAAGGAUUUGGAAGGCAAAGUUGCUUACAUGAGAGGAUACGACAAGGAAGGACACCCCGUGUGUUACAACGCGUACGGUGUGUUUAAAGAGAGAGAGAUGUACGAGAGAGUGUUUGGUGACGAUGAGAAACUCAAAAGCUUUCUCAGAUGGAGAGUUCAGGUUCUGGAGAGAGGUGUCAAGAUGCUUCAUUUCAAACCUGGUGGUGUUAAUUCGAUGAUUCAGGUUACGGAUCUUAAGGACAUGCCUAAGAGAGAGCUUAGAGUUGCUUCAAACCAGAUCCUUUCUCUCUUUCAGGAUAAUUACCCUGAGAUGGUUGCUACUAAGGUAAAUGUUUCUUUUUGGAGACAAGAACUUGAAUCUCGAGAUUAUUAUGUUUCUGUACUUGUGUUGUCUGAAAAAACCCGUAGUAAAUGUUAUGUUUUUCAUGUGUUUUUGCUCUGUUUUGCGUGUUGGGUUGCUUGCGAAUCUCUCAUGCAAGAGAAUCUUAAAGUGUCUUAAAUGCUUAGUACAUGUCUGCUUAAUGAGGAAUCUAAAUCUCAUUCAAGAAAUAGUACUUAUCUUAACAUUGAUCUUGGAAUCUUGUUUAUGUUCAAAUUUUCAAAAUGGAUUUGGAAGAAAUAGUAAAGAGUGGUUUUAGAUGUUUCUGUGUUGGCAUCAUCCUCUGACUUGUGCAGUUUUGAUUCUUGUUUUUGUAUUUACUUUCCGUAAAUUUUACUUCUUAGCUUUUGUCAUCUACCGCUACAGUUAAAUUGAUGGAUUCUUUGUGUGGCCGUACGCUGAAUUUAUUAAUAAUCAGUCUCUAUUGACAAAGACAAUGCGUAAUAUCUAUAAACAAAGCAUUUCUCAUGUUGAUAUUUGAGUAACAAACUAAUAUUUUAAUAUGUAAAAAGUACUAAUAGAUCAUUUUAAAACUAUUCAACUCGUGAAGUUUUGAUGAAUCUUUUUUUGUAGAUAUUCAUCAAUGUGCCUUGGUACUUCAGUGUCAUCUACUCAAUGUUCAGCCCUUUCUUGACGCAUAGAACAAAGAGCAAGUUUGUUAUGUCCAAAGAAGGAAAUGCAGCUGAAACACUCUACAAGUAAUCACCAUACCACUCUCUCAAUACUAUUUUCUUUUAGUUUGUUUUCUUUACUUUACCCUUUUUCUAAUUAUGCAUACCAUCUUUGCUAUUUCAGGUUCAUAAGGCCAGAAGAUAUCCCGGUGCAGUACGGCGGUCUUAGCCGUCCUACUGACUCACAAAAUGGACCGCCAAAACCUGCAUCUGAAUUCUCCAUUAAGGGCGGUGAGAAAGUUAACAUUCAGAUUGAAGGCAUUGAGGUAAAUAUGUCAACAAGCAUUUUACAAAUAAAUGAUUUGAUGAAUUAUGAAAUUCUUUUUACGUGGAGAUAGAGGUGAUGGUCGAAGGAAAGAAGGAAAAAAAAAACAAGUAGUAUUGGCUUUUCUUGUAUAUUUUUCUUUCAAAAUGCUUUUUUUUUUUGUAUAUAUACUGUGGAUUUACAAAGUUAAAUCACAACAAAUGUACCAUCAAAGAAAAUUCCACAAAUUCAACCACUAGUUUUCUUGCUUCAGCUAAACAAGUUACCAUUUAUAAGUCGUUGUAAAUAAAUCAAAUUGAUAGAAUACGUCCAACCGUCAAAUUUAAAAUGAAAAUGUAAUUUGCUUCGGAGGCUGUCUUUAAGGCAUUCCCGAAUGAUUAAAGGGUACUUAAUCAAUUACUGUUCCACUGUCGCACUAAGUCAAAAGUGAACUCCAAAGCCAAAGGUUUCAAACAUUGUUAAAGUAUUAUGUCCACGAGAAUCAGCACAUUAGAGGCCCACCAGUUAUCAAUAAACGCCAAAACAUUUUACAGUUUUCCAAAUUUUGUAAUAAUUUUUGCAGAGAGAUAUUUAGAAUAUCAUAAAUGAAAACAAAAAAAAGAGACAUACUGAAAAUUCACAACUAAACAAUUAGUAUAUAGUUAACUAUAAAAGGAAGAGAUGUAUAUAAUGGAGUCUUACAAGUUCUACAAAAAAUCAAAUUGGCAAGAGCACUUACAUUCCUUUAUCAAAAAAUUACUGUAUCAAUUUUCUCUUAAUUUUGGUUUCAAAUUUUUGUAAAUAAAAUACUCAUUAAGAAGACAGGGAAUAAAUAAUAAUGAUAGAAAUUCCUACUAACUGUUGUUGUAAGUUUCAACUUAGAUGUGGUCCAACGUUAAUACCAUUGCCAUUGAUACACACAUAUAGGUAAUAAUAACUAUUCGUUUAGUUAUUCUUUUCUGGAAUGAUGUUAAUUAAAUGUUUAUUUUGUAGGUUAUGGGAAUGAACUGGAAAGUAUAAAGUCGAAAUCGCAUGGUGUGGAAAAGAUGAUUGUUUUUGGCUAAACUAAUGUAUUUUAUAUGCUAAUUGAGCGGAUCCCCAAAUAUUCUCAUAAUCCCACCUUAAUCCUUCUCAUAGUAUGUUGAAACUUGAAAUAAAGAGUGAGCUUUAAAAUCCUUUUGCUUUUUAGAAUCUAGAGGAGAGUAAGAUUUUACCAAGUUAUUGUAGUCUUUGAGUCUUAUAAUUCUAAGAUUAAUUGUACGUAAAUACCAUAUAUCCUCCACGUACGUACAAAGGACACAACAGAAACAAAGUAAACAACUUCAAUCCUAAUUUAGAUGCACUGAACAUCCACUCACCGUCCCACACACAAUCUAUACGUUACACAACAUAAGAUUCAACCCUAAGAAAUGUCAGAGAACGAUAAUACAACACUUGUACAAACACACUAGUACCAAACCUAGAUUCCCCAUCUCAUUCGAGAGAGAUAAGAUAAAGAGUGUGUGUUUGAACGUAGAGGUGACUUUUUUUUUUGAGUUUUGGUGAACCAAACACACCCCCCAUCUCUUCUCAUAAUUAUUAUCACCUCUUCUACACGUUACCUCUUUGCUGCAAACUCACGCUCCUCUCCUAAUGCACGUGACUACCACGCUCCACUUUCAAUCUCUCUGUUCUUUUUACCCAACACCAUUCUUCUUUUGUCUCAAUCCAAUUCGCUUAAAAAGAUCUUUUCCAAUCUCAGUUCACAUUCAAUUAACAAAACAUGUUUCCUGAUAUAUAUACUUUUCGAUUUUUGUGUUUUUUUUUUCAAACUAAAACAUUUCACACAUAUAUGUAUGGUCACAGUCUUCUAAUCAAUUUCGUAGAAAAUUUAAAAUAACAUUUCCUCCAUUUCCUACUAAGUUUUUUCAGACUAAAAUCUUCUGGUUUAUUUCUAGUUAAUAUUUUUUAUUAGAAACUAUAAAAAUUGAUUUUUCAAAUGUAUGCAACCAAAAUGUAUAAAAAAUUAUAAUGAAAAAAAUUUAAAUGAACACUUUAUAUAAAAAUAGCGUUGGAAUUGGAAAAUUCAGUAAAAAUAAGCUUUAUCAGAUUAUUUAAAUAAGCUUUAUCAGAUUAAUUUUUAUUUUAUAUUAUUGUAAAAAGCCGCGAUAUCUGUUCAAAAAUCAGAAAUCAAGAAGUCACGCCUAUAUCUUUCUCUCUCCCGUCACUCUCACUCCUCCUCCACGUCUUGCUUAUCAUUACAUCGAUCCUCCUUUGUCUCUCAUCUCUGUUUUUCUCUUCUCCAUAGAUAAUCAAGAAUCAAUGGACUCUGCAUUGUCCCCAAGCCCAUUUGAUCCCACAAAAACACCAAACGCAGAGCCAAAGAAAAGCUUCAUGUCCUCUCUCAUUACCCUCCGCUCCAACCACUUCAAAGAAGACACUUACUUCGUCUCCGAACUCAAACCCGCCGAGCAGAAAGCUCUCCAAGACCUCAAAGAGAAGCUCUCGUCUUCCUCCUUCGGAGCUUCCUCCAUGUGGGGAGUCCCUCUCCUCGGCGGAGACGACAGAGCUGACGUCAUCCUCCUCAAGUUCCUCAGAGCAAGAGACUUCAAAGUCGGAGACUCGCUGAGGAUGCUC